rnacentral:lncRNA from 10 species
UGUGGAGAAACCUGUUCAUCCGCAGAUGAAGGGAUAAAGAAACUGUAGUAUAUAUACACAAAUGGAAUACUCUUCAUCCAGAAAAAUGUAAUGAAAUUACAUCAUUUGCAGCCACACUGUUGAACCUAGAGGACAUCAUGGUAAAUGACCUGUCCUGUCCACCCACAGCUGAAGGGAUAAAGAAACCACCAUACAGAUACACUAUGGAAUAUGCUUCAGCCAUAAAGCUUUGGGAAAUCCUGUCAUCCACAGCCAUGUGGAGAAACCCAAGAAACCCAGAGGAUAUUAGGUCCAAGGAAAUGAGCCUGGUAGAGGAAGUCCCACACCUUUUAAUCUCAGGCAUGGAGAUUCCAAAAACUUUAUCUCCUGUCCAUCUACAGAUGAAGGGAUCAA